rfam:Flavobacterium sp. Leaf359 contig_5, whole genome shotgun sequence.
GGAACUGUAGUGUAUGUGGUAUGCACGUUAGUUUGAAACACUAAAGGUAUUCGUUCAACUCGAAUCUGUUCCA